rnacentral:rRNA from 1 species
AUUGAACGCUGGCGGCAGGCCUAACACAUGCAAGUCGAGCGGAAGAAGGGAGCUUGCUCCUGGAUUCAGCGGCGGACGGGUGAGUAAUGCCUAGGAAUCUGCCUGGUAGUGGGGGAUAACGUCCGGAAACGGGCGCUAAUACCGCAUACGUCCUGAGGGAGAAAGUGGGGGAUCUUCGGACCUCACGCUAUUAGGUGAUCCUAUGUCGGAUUAGCUAGUUGGUGGGGUAAAGGCCUACCAAGGCGACGAUCCGUAACUGGUCUGAGAGGAUGAUCAGUCACACUGGAACUGAGACACGGUCCAGACUCCUACGGGAGGCAGCAGUGGGGAAUAUUGGACAAUGGGCGAAAGCCUGAUCCAGCCAUGCCGCGUGUGUGAAGAAGGUCUUCGGAUUGUAAAGCACUUUAAGUUGGGAGGAAGGGCAGUAAGUUAAUACCUUGCUGUUUUGACGUUACCAACAGAAUAAGCACCGGCUAACUUCGUG